UGUCUGAGCAUGGCUGACUUCCCACAAUGCUUCUGUGCAGCAAAUAUAAAAUGGAUGGGCUCCAGGCAGGGUCAUGAUACAACUGCUCCCAUUUCAGGCUGCUGGAAGGGCUGGGCUCUGUUCCCAUGAGUGACACGGACACUGAGCGUGGAUGUCAUCUGGCACUGCCAUUGCAUCAGUCAGUGCUGGCUCAGCAACACGAUACCCAAAGUAUUUUAAAGGCAAGGAAUAUCGCUGAUGUUACGUACUCGAAUUAAGUUGAAAGCACUUUAUGCUUUCAGUUCAGCAUAAAAGGGCGAUUUGGUAAGUUCAGUUCUUGACUAGACUCAGUCCUGAGGCUGUGGCAGUAAUGAGAAUGCAGACCCAGGCGCUGACCUUCCUCCCUCACAGCCCGUGGCAGCAGCACUGUUUCCUGUCUCGCUGUGUUCCUGCCGCCGCAGAGCAGGAAAUCCUGACUGCCCAGAGGCGAGGCUUAAAAACCCUUCUGAAACAUGAAGUGACACACAUGCUCACCUAGCAAAUACAUAGCAGCUGGGUAAAUACAUCUAGAGAUGAGACCAUAAAAGCUGGUUAUUAAGGAAAGUAAAUCUGGCUAAUGUUAGAAAGCAAGAUGCGGGUGAGCUGAAUGCAAUACUUUGUUUUACAGAUUAGCACAUUCUAGUGCAGGAAGAUGAAGAAGAAUAGAAGCCAGGGGCUUCCUUGAAAUUGUGUUCAUCAGAGCUCAUUUUAUUCAUGCAGAAGUGUCUCAAAGUUAGGGAUUGUGAUUGGUAACCUUCUCCUGAAGAGGUGAGAUACCUCUAAAGCACAGCAUUAAAAGCAGUCUGCAGAGAACAAAAAGAAGCACAAGGCCAAAGAGAAAAGAUGUUGGAGCAGGUCGGUGGAGAUUUACAAGGGUGGAGUAUGUCCUUGUUGUUACCCAGCUUGUGGUUGAGUUUA